AGUCAUUAAGUCAACUACAUCUGUUUUGAAAGCAGCCCAGGAGCGCCAAGCUCAAUGACCU
rnacentral:tRNA from 1 species